rnacentral:sRNA from 1 species
GUUAUGGCUCAAUUGGAGCUUAUGUUGUAAUCGUGAUUAUCGCACUAUUGCGAUAACAUGACUAUCGAGCGCCUUAUUUCAAAGAGUACAAAUUGGCUAACGAACCAGUAUGUUCUUACAUUUGUGUGCCAAAUGUCUUAUAAUUAAAAUUCAUGAAAAUCCAAGCAAAUAAUUGUGCCCUCUCGAUGGCCAUCUGUUGAAGCAUUAAGGCUUAAAAAGGUUAAAUGUGCAGUGUUGUGCAUAAAAUCCAUGUCUUAUGUUGUGGCCAUUUUUUGAGCCCUCCGGGCUGUUGGCUUCCACAGAAGUACGGCAAACAAGCUACCGCAGCUGGCCAAGCAAGACCAAAAGGGUCCUCUUGCUUACCACCCCAUCACCCACCCAGUGAAAAAUAAAACCAAAGCCCAAACAUUGCUUGACCCUCAUUA